rnacentral:tRNA from 1 species
GUGUCACAUAGCCGAUUUCGUGCGGGAACAGGCUGAUAAUCUGUUCCGCAGGCGCGUUGCUCAUGUGGGCCAUCAGUUCGAGGCUGAUCUGACGGA